AUACUUACCUGGCAGGGGAGAUACCAUGAUCACGAAGGCGGUUUUCCCAGGGUGAGGCUUAUCCAUUGCACUCUGGAUAUGCUGACCCCUGUGAUUUCCCCAAAUGUGGGAAACUCAACUGCAUAAUUUGUGGUAGUGGGGGACUGCAUUCGCACUCUCCCCUG
rnacentral:snRNA from 1 species